UGGGAUUCUGAAGCUGAAAAAGGGCAUUAGAUUAAAAAAAGGACUUAGAUAAUAACAUAUCAACAUUAGCUCAUUAAUUAUAGCGUGUUUUUUUUUUUCUUUCUUUUGCAGUACUAAGGAUUGAACCCAGGGUCUUAUACAUGCAAGGCAAACACACAACCACUGAGCUACAUCCCCAGACCUAGCUCAUUAAUUUUAACAAAUAUACCUUUCUAAUAUCAGCUGUUAAUUAAUAAUUGGGAGAAAAGGAUACAGGGCAGAUAGGCAUCUGUGAAAUUUUUUGAUAAAUAUAAAAUUAUUAAAAAAAAAAAAACUAUGGGAGUUUUCUGGUAUUUUGUUUUGGCACUUGGGGUUGAACCCAGGACCUCAUGGUGCUGCCUUAACCUUAGGAGAGGUUCCAUAUGACUCAAAUAGGAGUUCUGUCAAAUAGGCAAGCUCUCUCUAUUCUAAAUUACACCCCUAGUCCUUUUUAAAAAAAUUUUCUUUUUGGGAGUACUGGGAAUUUAACUCAGGGUCCCUCAACCACUGAGCCACAUUCUCAGCCCUAUUUUGUAUUUUAUUUAGAGACAAGGUCUCACUGAGUUUCUUAGCAACUUGCUGUUCCUGAGGCUGGCUUUGAACUUGAGAUCCUCCUGCCUCAGCCUCCUGAGCUACUGGGAUUACAGGUGUACAGGUGUGAACCACCAUGUCCAGCUCCUUUUUUUUUUCCUCUUUUUUCUUCAGGUACUGGAGAUUGAAUCCAGGAGCACUUAACUACUGAGCCACAACCCCAGCCCUAUUUUGUAUUUUAUUUAGAGACAGGGUCUCACUGAGUUGCUUAGCAACUUGUUCCUGAGGCUGGCUUUAAACUCUCAAUCCUCCUGCUUCCACCUCCAAACUGCUGGGAUUAUAGGCAUGUGCCACCACGCCCGGAACGCCUAGCUCCUUUUAAAAUUUUGAGGCAGAGUUUUGCUAAAUUGCCACAGCUAACCCCAAACUCUCUAUCUUCCUGUCUCAGGCUGCCCAGCAACUGGGAUUACAGGCAUGUGUCACUGUACCCUGCUGAGAGCUCUCUUUUUUAUUUACUUUUUUGCUGCCUGGGAUUAAACCUAGGGGCCCUUAACCACUGAACCACAUCCCCAGUCCUUUUUAUUUUUUAUUUGAGACAGGGUCUCACUAAGUUUCCUAGGGUCUUGCUAAAUUGCUGAGCCUGGUUUUGAACUUGCAAUCCUUCUGCCUCAACCUCUCUAGUUGCUGGGAUUACAGGUAUGUGCCAAUGUGCCCUCUGGAAACUCUCCUUUUUAAAACACAACUGCCAGGCUUUUGGUUUGCUAGAGUGUUCUCUUAGAUCUCUGGGUACCAGACCUUGUUUUCUGCAGUUCAGGUGCUCUCUUUCAGCCCUGUUCCUCCUCAUUGUCCUUCCUUUUUUUGUUUGUUUGCAGUGCUGGAGAUGGAACCCAGGGCCUCACACAUACCAGGCAGGCAAGCAAGUGCUCUACCACUGAGCCACAUCCCCAGUCCCCACCUUCUUUUGGAGGUCAGCUUUCCUACACUGGAUGGUAGCUUAAUGUCUCUCACCUCUCUAGCCCUUUCCUCAGUCAUUACUGGUUGAAUACAGGGAGUUCCAGUGUACAAGGUAGGGGUCUCAACCCCAGAUCUUUGUCUGUCUUCAGCCUUCUAGAACUGAAAAUCUGAAGAGCAUGUGCUAGUUUCUCUCAGUGCUGCCUUAACUUUAGGAGAGGUUCCAUAUGACUCAGAUAGGAGUUCUGUCAUUCUGUGAAGCAUUCAGUGAAGACCUAUGAUUAAGAUAAGAGCAAGAGGUAGGUUCUUUGGUACAAGAGCUGAUGUUCCUCAGCUGAUGUUCCACAGGAUUCUAUCCUGUUGCAUUAGUCCACAUGCAGAUAUAGCUUAGUAGUAGAGUGCUUGCUUAGCAUGUUCUAGGUUCUAGGUUCAAUACCCAGAACCAGGAAAAAAAAAGCAGGGAGAAGGAGUACGAAGAAGAUGAUAAACAGAAAGAAAGAGGAGGAAAAAAGAAAGAAGACAAUUUGCUGAUUCCUUUCAUCCCAUCUAAGGCAGAUUCCUAUUCCUUAGGCUGUUUUAUCUCAGAGCAGCCAUGGGUUUCUUCUUUAUUAUGAAGGUUGAAUUGUUUUCUGAAUCAUUCGUUUGGUUCAUUUAGGUUUCCAUGUAUCCUUGAUUCUCUGGUAGGUUUGUAAAAAUUUCAGUUCUAAUUUGGCUUCUAAGGGUUUUCAGGGAAAGAACAAUAAUAUCAUGCAACUUUGUACAUCUGAAAAGCAAGGAGACUUCUUGCCCCGUUUUGGAUGGUUCCCGCCCUGGUAUACUAAAGUGUCUGUACUCAAAUAUCACCUUUUCAAAGACACUUCCCCGACUCCAUUUAAAAAGUCUCACAGAUACCAGUCACCCUUCAUCUCCAUACCCUACUCUUUACUUUUCUUCCAUUGCCCUCAUCUCUCUGAAAUGUACUUGUCUCACUUCUUUAGCUGUCUCCUCUACUAGAAGUUAGGUUCCAUAAUGACAUGAAUUUUGUUUUUCUUAUUUGUCAGUAUAUCCACAGGAGCAAAUAUGAUUGCUCAUAAUUUUAGCUUGCCUUGAAACUAAUUAAAUAUAAAAUUAUUAUUGUACUUUAUAAAGUACUUAUUAUAGAUACUUUUCAUAAUAGUGUAAGAGAAUUACAAAAUCUCUCAGUGAAAAGCAAACAUUAUUCAUUGCUUGCAAUGUUGGCUAUAAAUAUUAUUAAUAUGGUUAGUACUUUAUCACUUUUUAUCUUUGUUUAUUUAUUUGUUCUUUUUAGUUAUAUAUGACAGUAGAAUGUAUUUUUGCCUAUCAUACAUACAUGGAGUAUAAUUUCCCAUUCUUAUAGUUGUAAAUGAUGUAGAGUUACACUGGUCAUGUAUAAAUAAACAUAGGAAAGUUCUCUUUGAUUCAUUCUGUUGUCUUUCUUAUUCCCAUCCCCCUCCAUUCCCUUCAUUCCCUUUUGUCUAAUCCAAUGAACUUCUAUUCUCCCCUCUCUCUUACUGUAUGUUAGCAUCAAAGGCAACACUUGGCUUUUGAUUUGGGGAGACUGACUUAUUUCACUUAGCAUGAUAGCCUCCAGUUCCAUCCAUUUACUGGAAAAUGCCAUAAAUUCGUAAUUCUUUAUGGCCGAGUAAUAUUGCAUUGUGUAUAUGCACCACAUGUAUUUUUUAUAUCACUGAAACUAGCCAGGCAUGGUGGCACAUUCCUAUAAUCCCAGUUACUUGCUACCCAGGGGCAGGGAGACUGAGGCAGGAGUGUCAUAAAUUCCUGGACAGCUUUGGCAAUUUAGCAAGAUCCCUCCUCUAAAAAAAACAGGGUUGGGGAUAUAGUUCAAUGGUAGAGUGCCCCUGAGUUCAAUCCC
rnacentral:lncRNA from 1 species